GAUGAACGCUAGCGAUAGGCCUAACACAUGCAAGUCGAGGGGCAUCACAUGAAGUAGCAAUACGGAUGGUGGCGACCGGCGCACGGGUGAGUAACACGUAUGCAACCUGCCUUCAACAAGGGGAUAACCCGUUGAAAGACGGACUAAUACCCUAUAACACAGGGGUCCCGCAUGGGAAUAUUUGUUAAAGGACAACCGGUUGAAGAUGGGCAUGCGUUCCAUUAGCUAGUUGGCGGGGUAACGGCCCACCAAGGCAACGAUGGAUAGGGGAACUGAGAGGUUUAUCCCCCACACUGGUACUGAGACACGGACCAGACUCCUACGGGAGGCAGCAGUGAGGAAUAUUGGUCAAUGGACGCAAGUCUGAACCAGCCACGUCGCGUGAAGGAAGACGGCCCUACGGGUUGUAAACCUCUUUCGGACGGAAAGAAAUCGCCGCCUCUAACAUAGGCGGUGGAUGACGGUACCGUAAGAAGAAGCACCGGCUAACUACGUGCCAGCAGCCGCGGUAAGUACGC
rnacentral:rRNA from 1 species